rnacentral:lncRNA from 1 species
AUGUCUUGCUUUUCUGUAGACAACGAGAAGAGAGAAAGAUGGAAGCCAUUCUGCAAGCCUUUGCCCGAAUGGAGAAGAGAGAGAAACGCAGGGAGCAGGCUCUGGAGAGAAUCGGUAGCAUCAAAUCUGAAAUCGGCGGUAGGGGUGACAUCAAAGAGAGCCCCCAGCCACGCCAGAAACUGCAGAUUCUCCUGCUGUUGUACAGCCACUUCUGGAGGUGAAAGAGGAACCGGGACUAAAGCCAGCCAAGGUCAAAGGUUCGAGGAACAGGAAGAGCUUCUCAAGGAACCGCACGCACAUCGGCCAACAACGCAGGCGAGCUCGCACCAUCAGUACAUGCUCUGACUUGCCCCCAAGCUCUCCAGCUGAGUCUGUGGAGCCGCUGACUAAUGAAGCCCCUGAAGGAGAGACGCCCACUGCACCAGAACCAGAGGCAAUCCCCAACCAAGCACCAGACACAAGCCCUCCACAUGGCAGCUCACCUGCUCCUGACAGAAACCGCACAGGAAGCAAGAACUUCAAAACUAAAAAGGUACAGCUUUUUAAAUUUCAGAAUAGAAAACAUUGUGAGCUUUAAAUGAUGAUGGAAAUAAAUUGUAUUGUGCAUUAUUAAGUAAUUUAAGCUGUGUGAUAUCUGUAUGAUAUCUGUAUGUAAUCCAUUUAAAACUCUCUUACAGCACUUUGUGAGUGAGUGGGUGGGAGAGAAACAGCAAGACCGUGGUGCAGUGCGAACUCCAGAACCAGCUCCAGAGAGGCCACUUAGGAAUAAGCAGUGACCCUGAAGUACUUGCCACGCAACUAAAUGCCUUAACCAGGCAUGGCCUGCUCACCACAGGUCUACAGCACACCCAAGCACUAUGUUCGGUUUCCUCUCCAUUCCUGGCAAAUCGAAGCCCAACAACUCCUGGUGUUCCCACUGGGAGACGACGUUCUAGAGGAGUUGCAAGAAACACGACAACCACUGGCUCUUGCAAAAAGGUACAGUUUUUUUUCUAGUAUGACUCAUACAUAUUGAUGAAAAACAAUUUCCAAUUCGCACAAGACGCUGCCUGUGAUGUACUUUGUAUGUUCCUGUUAACAAAACAAACCGAGAGGUGUCCUUUAAUGAGGAACUAAAGAUCCACUUGUUCCUACAGCGAUGGUUGAAGCAGGCUCUCGAGGAAGAGGGCUCCACCAGUCCUGCCAGACGACCCAGCCUUCUCAUGCCUAGUGACGGUCCUCUCAGCCCCUCCAUCAAUGGAGACUCAGACAGCCCUCUACCUUACAACGGCACUUGCUCAUUACCAGGUAGGAACGACAGAGCCAGCGUUCAGUCUGGUGCCACAUCCUGUCACUUAUUGACAUAAAACAUGCUUGAAACAUAUUAAAUUAAAAAAAACAUUUUUUUUUGAUGGAUACCUGACUGAUCUCCUCUUACAGAGUUGCCCACACCUUUUAAAAAGCGGCGAUUAAGUCCAUUAGAUGCCUGUAUGUCUGAGAGCUCCACACCCUACGGCUCCCCUUGUGCCACGCUACCCGGGCAGACCAAUCAGAAAUGCCGGCAACCCCUGUUUUGUUGGCCACCCCUCCACGUCUAGAACAGAGGAGCCAAGUACAGAGCCCCUGCCUAGUACCCCUACACAGACAUUUACUGCCCCUCAAGAGGUAAGUUAGCUCAAUGGAAAGCGUGUCAAGCUUUAUUUACAUGGAAGAAAGAAAAAGAACUGGAAUGAUUA